AAAAAUUUCCUUUGGAGUUCAUUCUCAAUGUAGAAUUUGGUAAAUCGACUGGCAAGCCCCCUUAAUUAGGAAAGGAUAACGCAGAACAGAGGUGGAAAAUACUCGUGUAGGUUGUCGUUGACAGCCAACGAUAUUCAGUGACGUCGAUGACGGUCGUGGAAAUGACGAGGCUGAUAAUGAUUGCCACGACGACGAUGACACUUGGCCCCGCGAGCGUUUACGUAGACACGACAUUCGGAACGCGCGUUCGUAAUUAACGGAGCGUACAUAGCGAGCGAUUACUCGAUAGAUAAAGAAAAGUACAAGUUCGCGAGUUGUACAAACAAAUUUUGUUCUACAUUUUCCAUCUGUUUCCUCGUUAUACUGCGAAUAUUUAGCAACCGCGUUGCCGUCGGAGGAAAUAUCCUCUACGUAGCGUGAAAUAUGCGCCGUUCCUGGCAACCAACCGCGCCGCAAGGUUACUUGUUCCCUUAAUUUUAGAAGCGUCGGUGAGGAACGCUCGAAGAUGCUCGUCGCGACGAAAAUAAUAACGUAACGCGGCUGCGGGGGCGAGAAUAAGAAUCACGGACUUCCUUGGAGGAUACGUUAGACCGACAGGACUUUCUACUUUUCCACCGACCAGUUUCCUCGAACGACAAGUAAAUCGACUGUGGGAUCGAAGGAACGCUGAAGCAGCUCGGGAACGAAGAAGGAGAAAGUCCGCGAGAUCGGAGACCGUUUCACUUUCGCCUUGUUCGACGAGCACCGUUGGACGUUGGAGCCGCUCCGGAUUGAAACACUCGGAUGGUGGAGUAUUUCGAAGGCAGACAAUCCGAAAGCUGCCUUAUCGCGCUAAGAGGACCGAUGCUCGAUGCCACGACAAGAGCAAACCAAGUUUGUACCGAAGUUUGGCCUUGUCACCUCUCUUCCAUAGUCCGAUCGCUACCUAGAGUCUAGGUCCUAGACGAUCGCUACGAAUUACGUAGGAUGGCCCAAACGAUCCACGAGCCCGUCCAAACUGGACCAAGUCGUUCCCGCGACGAGAAAAGACGCCGUACAGUGGACGUUUUCCAUGGAAUUGAUCCCAAAUCCAUUAGACUGGAAAGGAACCCGGGUCGAAGGGCCGCGGGGUCAUCGCGGUCGUUCCAGUGACCCAGUCAGCUCGGGCGCGACCUUCGAGGCGAUGUGUUCACCCAUUUAAACCAUCCUCCUGUACUUUCUCCCCGUCUGCCGGAUCGCUAUUUCUCUCUUUCGCAUCGCGAGAAGAAUACACAAGGGCACGUAGCCGCGCAUACAUACGUAUGGACGAACAUGGCGAGCGACGACGAGGAGGGCAUUAACAGUGCCGAGAGGAGGAGGCGAGGGUACGGAAAAGAGAAUUCCGAACAGUGGUCGCUAGACGAAGAUCGUCCAGGGUAUGGGAAAGAGAGAAAGUGACGAGUGUACGUACGUAGGUUACACACCGACGCGACGGACAGAAAGGCGGGUAGGGACAGGGAAACGCGAACAGACGGAGAGGACCAGCGAACGGAACAGAGAACACCCGCCGGUCGAAAGACGAGGGAAGAGAGAAGUCUGGCAGUCAGGGCGGUAAACGAAGAGGGCCGACCGAGUGGGACAGGAUGCAACAAAGCACCGACAGGUCGUGUGAUACCCCGUUACGUCACAGACGGAACAACUGGUUGCCUCAUGGGGAGUUUGAGGAGCUCUCUCGUGCACCAGCCGCGUUGGAGGUUGAAAGGGAGAGGAGACGAUACCGGAUGGGGGUAUUCCCGGGUCCGCGGGCGCAGCGGGGGAAUUCCGCGACCGUCGAGGGGGGAGGGUGAUAUAUACAAAACACAAGGUCACGAGUACGGCUAUAGGUAUCUCUCUGUAAACACGCGGUGACGUAGCAAGCACGUGCUACGACGUUACCAUGGCGGGGGCGAGUAGAGGGACACCCUCCACCCUCUGCACCCGCUCCUGCCGCUCUCUGUUCUUUCUUCUACUUUCAAUUCCCCUACUGGCCGGCUUCUCUCGCGGCCACGCUCUUGCGAACUCUCCUCUCUCUCUCCUGCUUCCGUUCCAGUUUCUCCGAGCAAGGAACUUGGCUGUUUCAGUUCGCAGAAGAAUUCACGUUUCCUCGCACGCAUUCCGCUCCCGCAGGACCAACAGGAACGUUAACGAACGGAAUAUCGAAGCGUAAUUGCACCCUUAGAGCUUGACGCGUCGCCGUCAGCGCUCGUCCGAUGGUUCUCCAUCGCGCGAUCUAUUAUUCAAGAGAACGUUACGCGACUCUAGCGCGGCGAACAACCUUCCGCGGAACGGCGGAUCUUCGAUCCGGGUAUGACGCGCGAAAUUCCGAUUAAUCCACAUGGAACGACGAGCAAUCCGGAGUGCAAUGGUCGAUGUUCCGUUCUAUCAAACGGAGGUCGAACGGAGGGCGAGGCAGGACUGACUGGUCACCUGGGGUUCAGGGGCUGCUCGCUCGACGCUUUCGGAUAGAUUACGGAGCAUGAUUAUAGUUCUUUUGCAUAGUUUUUGCAUCCGGUCACCCGGGUUUAAUUGUAAGACCGGGAGGGACAGUCACCCGGCCAUUGAUUCUUCCCGCGUCUCGCUAGGUCCUCGCUUUCUUUUGGCCCGGGCAUAUCCUUAACGAGGACGUCGCUACUUCACGAGAGGGGUCAUACUAUAAUACUUAUGCCUACAGAGCAUAAUUAUACCACCUAUAUUUCUCUAUUUCUCAAAAUAAUAAUAUUCUAUGCUAUCGCUUGGUUGUUGUAGGUACAUACAUAAUCGUAGGACAGCGUCAGAGGAUCGUGGCCCUGUGAGAAAGCUCUCUCACGAAGAGCGAUUCGGUUCACUGAAUGUUUCAAGCUACGUCCUAACGUAUUCCAUCGAGGGAAGCGUCCACAGGAGUCGCUUUCCUGCUGCGUUCCCCGAGGGUCAGGGCCCUGUCCCUUUGUCGCCCCUUUUCAAUGCUGCGCCUGCCUGGCUCUGCAGCUGCUCUUCUCUCUCUCUCUCUCUCUCACACGCACACACACACACUCUAAAAGAGACGUUUUUCAAAGUCCCCUCCGCGCUAACGAUCGCCCGGUCUCUUCCUAUCCCUUCCUGUGACGCGAAACGCGAGGGUCGAAAAUCCCACUGGGAGAUUAUUUUUCCCUUUCCACCCUCCUGGCAUCCGCGCCCCACGUUCCUCUGACCUGGCCUCUCCGCCAAGGAAUAUUACGUCCCGGGACGCGGUUCCCGGGUGGAAAGAGGAAACUUCUGCCCCUUUCCGACUUUAUCGCCCCGCUCGCAGCAAAAUUCCCGCCGCGUGCCACGAUCUAACGACGAUCUCUCCGUUUUCUCGCCGGCGCCGUUUCGCGAGUUAACGUUGCGUUUUCGUCCUUUAAUGGAAUAUCUCAAGCAUCGCGCGGCCCGAGAAAGACUCCGCAAACUUUCAUUUACGUAUAUCCGACGACGUUUUACUCGAUGCUGAAGAAGAAUUUAUCGUCAUUCCGCGAAGGUACACAUCGACAGGCAACGUAGAGUGGAUAUCGAUCUGUGCCUGAGAAGCCGACGUGCUCCGUUUCCUGGCCGUCUAUAAUUCAUCAUCGUUCCGCUUCCUGGUCUUUGUGCCUUCUGGACAAAGUCGAAGGCGUCGUUCGCCUGGAAACGCGUCGGUCGACUUCGGAAUAAAACUAUCGGAUAUGGGAGGACAUCCUAAGUUUGGCGAGCUUUAUUAGCGGUUAUACAAGAUAUACUUAUGAUAGUACACAUUUUCUUUUUUUUUUUUAAUACACGCGAAGGAGCAAAUU